CCUACGGGGGGCAGCAGUGGGGAAUAUUGGGCAAUGGGCGCAAGCCUGACCCAGCAACGCCGCGUGAAGGAAGAAGGCUUUCGGGUUGUAAACUUCUUUUCUCAGGGACGAAGCAAGUGACGGUACCUGAGGAAUAAGCCACGGCUAACUACGUGCCAGCAGCCGCGGUAAUACGUAGGUGGCAAGCGUUAUCCGGAUUUACUGGGUGUAAAGGGCGUGUAGGCGGGACUGCAAGUCAGAUGUGAAAACCAUGGGCUCAACCUAUGGCCUGCAUUUGAAACUGUAGUUCUUGAGUACUGGAGAGGCAGACGGAAUUCCUAGUGUAGCGGUGAAAUGCGUAGAUAUUAGGAGGAACACCAGUGGCGAAGGCGGUCUACUGGACUGUAACUGACGUUGAGGCUCGAAAGCGUGGGGAGCAAACAGGAUUAGAUACCCCAGUAGUC
rnacentral:rRNA from 1 species